GGUUUGUCACAAGCUGACUUGUUUUGAUUGUUAAUAUAACUUGCUUGCUGAUUUGUAGUUAGAAAAAUAUUUUAGGGUUGUGAGUAUUGUUAGAGAAAUUAAUUUAUUGCGAUAGAGGAUAGUACUGUGAGGGAAAAUUGAAAAUAGUUGGGGAAUUAAGUUGAAAGUAUAGGUAAAAUUUAGUACCUUGUGUAUUAGGGAUACUUCAUAUCAGGUAGUUAGAUGUACUUCUCCCGAAAUAAGGAUAGCUAAGUUGGGGGGUGAGUUUUUGUCGUAAAAAGAUUUAUAACCUUAUUUUAGUGGCGAAAUGUUAGUCGAGCCUUAAGAUAUCUGGUUUUCUUUGAAAAAAAUUAAAUUUUUUCUUUAUGCUACAGGUUAGAAUAGAUAGGGCAUUGGUAUAGGGGGGUUAAGCUCUUUAUACAAGAUAUUUGAUUAUGGAGAUGAAUAAUAGAUAGUAUUAGACUAGGCUUAGAAGCAGCCAUGUUUUCAAUGGGUUAUACCUGAGGUAUGUGUUUAAAAUAUUUAUAUUUGUUUUUAGUGCUAGUAGAAGAGAGCUAUUUUAAGUUCAAUUUAAUAGUUUAAAAUGAGUAUAUUAGUAUAUAUAAGGUUAUUGUUUUAUAAUUUUAUUAGGGAGUUUAAUAAAUUUAAAAAGGGAGGGACGAAAUGAAGGAAUUCGGCAAAGGGUUUAUUUCCGCCUGUUUAUCAAAAACAUGUCUAUAUGGGGAUAUAUAUAGUCUGGCCUGCCCACUGAGGGGGUUUAAGGGCCGCGGUAUUAUGACCGUGCGAAGGUAGCAUAAUCAUUAGUCUUUUAAUUGGGGGCUGGUAUGAAUGGUCGGACGAGAAAUGAGCUGUCUUAAGUUUUGAACAUUGAACUUAACUUUUAAGUGAAAAGGCUUAAAUGGGCUAGAGGGACGAUAAGACCCUAUAAAGUUUGACAUUAAAUUAAUUAAAGGUGAUUUAGGUCAUUAAAGUCUUAUUAUUAUAUAAGUGUUUAGUUGGGGCGACUAGGAUAUAAGUGAUUUAACUGUUUUCUUCGUUCGAGUCAAGAAUAUUUGAGUGUAUGAUCCUUUUUUAGGAUUUUAGAGUAAAUUACUUUAGGGAUAACAGCGUAAUUUUUUUGGAGAGUUCUUAUCGAUAAGAGAGUUUGCGACCUCGAUGUUGAAUUAAAAUUUCUUUGUAAUGCAGCAGUUACAAGAGGAGGUCUGUUCGACCUUUAAAUUUUUACAUGAUUUGAGUUCAGACCGGCGUGAGCCAGGUUGGUUUCUAUCUUCUAGAGAGAUAUAGAAUUGUUUUAGUACGAAAGGAUUAAAUAAUUGAAAUAGUUUUGAAAAAUGGAAGCUCAAUUUUUGGUGUAUUUAUUACUAUGCCGUCAGAAAAAAAGUCAA
rnacentral:rRNA from 1 species